AGAGCGAACGCUGGCGGCAGGCCUAACACAUGCAAGUCGAGCGGCCGUAGCAAUACGGCAGCGGCAGACGGGAUAGUAACACGUGGGAACGCGCCCUUCGGUUCGGAAUAACUCAGGGAAACUUGAGCUAAUACCGGAUACGCCCUUACGGGGAAAGAUUUAUUGCCGAAGGAACGGCCCGCGUCCGAUUAGCUAGUUGGUGAGGUAAUGGCUCACCAAGGCUCCGAUCGGUAGCUGGUCUGAGAGGAUGACCAGCAUCACUGGGACUGAGACACGGCCCAGACUCCUACGGGAGGCAGCAGUGGGGAAUAUUGGACAAUGGGCGCAAGCCUGAUCCAGCCAUGCCGCGUGGAUGAUGAAGGCCUUAGGGUUGUAAAGUCCUUUUAACGGGGAAGAUAAUGACGGUACCCGUAGAAUAAGCCCGGCUAACUUCGCGCCAGCAGCCGC
rnacentral:rRNA from 1 species